rnacentral:rRNA from 1 species
UAGGGAAUCUUCCGCAAUGGGCGAAAGCCUGACGGAGCAACGCCGCGUGAGUGAUGAAGUCUUCAGAUCGUAAAACUCUGUUAUUAGGGAAGAACAAAUGUGUAAGUAACUAUGCACGUCUUGACGGUACCUAAUCAGAAAGCCACGGCUAACUACGUGCCAGCAGCCGCGGUAAUACGUAGGUGGCAAGCGUUAUCCGGAAUUAUUGGGCGUAAAGCGCGCGUAGGCGGUUUUUUAAGUCUGAUGUGAAAGCCCACGGCUCAACCGUGGAGGGUCAUUGGAAACUGGAAAACUUGAGUGCAGAAGAGGAAAGUGGAAUUCCAUGUGUAGCGGUGAAAUGCGCAGAGAUAUGGAGGAACACCAGUGGCGAAGGCGACUUUCUGGUCUGUAACUGACGCUGAUGUGCGAAAGCGUGGGGAUCAAACAGG